UACGAAGGGGGCUAGCGUUGCUCGGAAUCACUGGGCGUAAAGCGCACGUAGGCGGCUUCUUAAGUCAGGGGUGAAAUCCUGGAGCUCAACUCCAGAACUGCCUUUGAUACUGAGAAGCUUGAGUCCGGGAGAGGUGAGUGGAACUGCGAGUGUAGAGGUGAAAUUCGUAGAUAUUCGCAAGAACACCAGUGGCGAAGGCGGCUCACUGGCCCGGUACUGACGCUGAGGGGCGAAAGCGUGGGGAGCAAACAGG
rnacentral:rRNA from 1 species